rnacentral:rRNA from 1 species
UACGAAGGGGGCUAGCGUUGCUCGGAAUGACUGGGCGUAAAGGGCGCGUAGGCGGCUUGCACAGUCAGGCGUGAAAUUCCUGGGCUCAACCUGGGGACUGCGCUUGAGACGUGUGGGCUUGAGUGGGGAAGAGGGUCGUGGAAUUCCCAGUGUAGAGGUGAAAUGCGUAGAUAUCGAGAGGAACACCUGCGGCGAAGGCGGGUUGCUGGGCUGACACUGACGCUGAUGCGCGAAAGCUAGGGGAGCGAACGGG